rnacentral:lncRNA from 1 species
GCCGCCGCCCGCCUCCGCCCGUGCUAGCGCUGCUCUCUCGCCCUGGCCGGCACCCCCGCAGUUGCUCCAGGCCGCUCACUUGGGACGUGCUACUGUGUCAGGCUCUGGAAAUGUCAGUCAUUUGUGUGUUUCAGGUGUACUUUUGUAAUUGUGUAUGUGAGAGGUAUUUAUGUAACUGUCUGCCUCUCAGGAAGUAGGAGAACUAGAAGAUACUAUGAUCUCAAAAAGAAAGAAAGAGACAAAGGUAAACAGAGCUUAGCUAGAAUCAGGUAAGGAAUAUGUGCUUACCUCCGUGAAUCAUUGUAGAAAUGUGAUUUUCCCCUUGCCAUCAAGCUUGUUUUCUGGAUGGCUGCUGCCAUGGGAAUCAAAUGAGAUCUUUGCAGUAAGGACUAAAGUGAUUCCCAUUGAAGUUUUCUGCACAGCAGAUAGUGAGUGUGUAAUAUUAUUUACCUCUAUCUGCUGCUUACAAGAGCUUUGGCCAGAGAACAUCUCCCAACUGUCUGAUAUUAUUUACACUGUCCGUGUGAUCUUUCUCUCUUCUCUGGCAGGAGACUCGGGAGUCUGUAGAACAGCUCUUCUGCUUUCUUUUGUCCCCUGUAUUUCCUAUCAUGGAGGCAAUAACCUGGAAAUCUUUGCUAGUGAUUGCAGUGGUAAGCCUUAGACCUUUGGUGAUCCCUGCCAGUAUCCCUGAUUUGGGGUAUUUAAACUCCUAAUUUAACGUGUUUUGUGGGAUGAGUACUCUAGUCUGGGCACUGCCUAUGAGCUUCCUUUGUAAAGGCGCCUCUUCAGUCAACCGGCACUCAAGAUGGAGCCGUAGGGAUGCCCUCCUCCCUAUGGCUGUGAUGUCUGGCAGGACUGGCUCGAGCUAGGAGAGGAAACAACCCUUAGUAAAGGCCUUUUCUUUCCUCCUUCAGGUCAGGGGCUAAAAGUUUGAAAUGCUACAUGUGAAGGGCUUUUGUUGUUUGUAAAUUUUUAAAUGUAAACUUGUCUAUUUUAUUGCUAAUUUAAAAAUAAAUGACUUUAUAUUGAUUGCAAAACU